rnacentral:rRNA from 1 species
AUACGGAGGCUGCGAGCGUUAAUCGGAAUUACUGGGCGUAAAGGGUGCGUAGGCGGCUUGAUAAGUCGGAUGUGAAAGCCCCGGGCUUAACCUGGGAAUUGCAUUCGAUACUGUCAGGCUAGAGUAUGUCAGAGGUUGGCGGAAUUCCUGGUGUAGCGGUGAAAUGCGUAGAUAUCAGGAGGAACACCAGUGGCGAAGGCGGCUAACUGGGGCAAUACUGACGCUGAGGCACGAAAGCGUGGGGAGCAAACAGGAUUAGAUACCCUAGUAGUCC